rnacentral:sRNA from 1 species
AAUUCUGUAUCAAUUACUGCAAUGAGAAACUGCAGCAGCUAUUUAUUCAGCUGGUUCUGAAGCAAGAACAAGAGGAAUACCAGCGGGAAGGGAUCCCCUGGAAACACAUUGACUACUUCAACAAUCAGAUCAUUGUUGACCUCGUGGAGCAACAGCACAAAGGGAUCAUUUCAAUCCUUGAUGAUGCUUGCAUGAAUGUCGGCAAAGUCACCGAUGAAAUGUUUCUUGAAGCACUUAACAGUAAAUUGGGCAAACACGCACAUUUUUCCAGCCGAAAGCUCUGCGCCUCAGACAAAAUUCUGGAGUUUGAUCGAGAUUUUCGAAUUCGACAUUAUGCAGGCGAUGUAGUCUAUUCUGUCAUUGGUUUUAUUGACAAAAAUAAAGAUACUUUAUUUCAAGAUUUCAAGCGCCUUAUGUAUAACAGUUCAAAUCCUGUGCUCAAGAAUAUGUGGCCUGAAGGCAAACUGAGCAUUACAGAGGUGACCAAGCGACCUCUGACUGCUGCUACCUUGUUUAAGAAUUCUAUGAUUGCUCUAGUAGACAACCUUGCAUCAAAGAUUGAUUAUUGUGGGAGAAAGGUAAACAAAACU